GUAAUAAAAGAUUGUGGAACUAGUUGAAAAUUAUAUUGAUAGUUUUUAGUCUAAUUUCUGUUCGGUUAUGAUGGGUAAAUGACUAUGUAAACUAGAAAAGGGGCAAGAAUUGUUUUCUUUAGUUUUUCAAUUUGAAAGCUAUUAGGCGAGUUUUUGAUGCAUUAUCAAAAUACAAAGUUGAAUAUGUAUUGUGCAAGCCUUUCUAUCCUACCUGAAAUGUGCAGUCAAAGGCUCAAAUGUUAUCAAUAGAAGGUUUUAAAUAUUUGUAGUUGAAGUGUACAUUUAAACAUUCAUCUUCAAUAUCAGAUGCAAGCCAGAAUGUCAGGUUAUUGCAACAGGAAAACAUGUAAGUAUCAAUAUUUUUUGUUAAUGAUGGAAUGACAUAAUGUGACGUACUGAAAGAUCAAAUUACUAAAAUAUUUAGGUGAAAAUAGUGAACUCUAGUAUUUUUUCAGGGACUUGUUUUGGAGAUGGGGGCAAAUGGCUUUCAAGAAUGAUGAAAUGUACCAAUCCCCUGCCUCUCUUGGAAGCCAGCAAGAAAUGUCUUUAUAUUACAGGGUGUUUUCAGAGAUGGUGGUCGCAUUAGAAGAAAGCUUUGGAUGAAAGACCAGGAUUGAUUUACAUCCUCAUUGAAUCAAGUUUUCAUUACCAAGAAAUGGUGUUGCAAAAAAAAUGUUCAAGCUCAGUUGCCUAAGCUAACUGGUUUCUUUUAUAAAAGGUAUGAAGUAUGGCAGUAAAGAUUUAUGCCAUCAGAGUGGAAUUUCAGAGUUGUUUGGCCAAAGAAAGCAUUUUGAAGUUCAGAUAUCUACAGUAGAUGGUCACCUCUAUGAACAGGUUAUAUUAAAAGAAAUGGUUUGGCUGAAGAAGCAGGAAGCUCAAGACACCUGUGGGAACUGUCAACCUUAUUGAAAGAUUACAUUUAAAAAAAAUGGGUUGGCUGAAGAAACGUGAAGAUUGGAUAUUCAUUGUAACCAGUGCCCAUUAUUAGAUUGAAGGAAAAUGCAAUGUUUUUGCCGAAGAACUAAUGCGAAGCCGAAGAUACCUUUAAGGACAACUGGAUGGCUUCAUGAAAAAGAUGUGUAGCAGAAUAGUUUGUGCCAUCAGAGUGUAAAUCAGAUCCAGCCCAGUCUCGCUCUCCUUCAAGGAUAAAAUAUUGCUUGGACUUUGCAAGCACAACCACAAAAUGGAUUUGUUAAUAUGUAUUGUAUUUUAUAAUAAAGUAUUCUUAAUAAAAA